UAUAGUAUCCUGCUCAUGAAACUUAAAUAGCCGCGGAAAUUUAACCGUGCUAAGGUAGCAUAAUCAUUAGCCUCUUAAUUAGAGGCUCGUAUGAACGGUAAAACAUUUCAACUACUAUAUUAUAUAUAUAUUAUUUUAAUUUAAAUUAAGAAUUAAAAUGUUCUUAUAUAAAAAAUAGACGACAAGACCCUUUUGAACUUAACUUUAGUUUGGCUGGGGCAGCUAAAGAAUAAUUAUCUUUUUUUUAUUCAUUUAAAUAAACGACCCAAUAAAAUUGAUUUUAUGAACAAGUUACCAUAGGGAUAACAGCGUAAUAUUUUUCUAAAGUUCUUAUUUAAAAAAAUGAUUGCGACCUCGAUGUUGAAUUAGUGUAACUUUACUAAUGCAGUAAUUAUAAAAGUAGGUCUGUUCGACCUUUAAACCAUUACAUGAUCUGAGUUCAAACCGGA
rnacentral:rRNA from 1 species